rnacentral:rRNA from 1 species
UACGUAGGGUACAAGCGUUAUCCGGAAUUAUUGGGCGUAAAGAGCUCGUAGGCGGUUUGUCGCGUCUGCUGUGAAAACCCGAGGCUCAACCUCGGGCCUGCAGUGGGUACGGGCAGACUAGAGUGCGGUAGGGGAGAUUGGAAUUCCUGGUGUAGCGGUGGAAUGCGCAGAUAUCAGGAGGAACACCGAUGGCGAAGGCAGAUCUCUGGGCCGUAACUGACGCUGAGGAGCGAAAGCGUGGGGAGCAAACAGG